GUUUUCCUGCGGCGUCCGUUACGGCUCAUAUUCUUUGAACCGAUAAGCAGACCCCGGUUGCCAGCCAUACAAGGCCUGUUGUGUACGUUCCCCGUCGAACGAACCUGAUGGCCAAGGCCGGCGACCCCUUGAACCUCAGGGUUCAAGAUGCGAGCCGGACGGCGCUUGCGGGAAACCU
rnacentral:other from 1 species